GACUCUUACCCUCAUCCCACGCUUCCAAACCUCUUGGAGUACCACUCUUGCUAAACAUCUCUUAGGGCUGACACCUUGGUAUCCUAAACAGCUGGUUUGGACUCUGCGCUGUUUGCUGCUUUUGUCCUGUACGUGGGUGACCAGCCACCUGAUUCCGGGCUGUUCUCUACCUUGUCAUGGACUUCUGCCUCCUGGAAUUUCUGCUCACCGCCACCAUGGUUGCCCUUUCUGUGUCAUACCUGGAAGCCCAGAGCAUGCAACUUCCCACCUGAAAUUUCAGGAUAAGCCCUCUGGAUGAUCUAAAUAUCUCUUGAUAAAUGAUUUCUCUCAAGCUUCCUGAGACGGGAAUAAAAGGAUUUACUGACUACCUAUGAUGUGCCAAGCACUGGAGUCAACAUUUCAUCUCAUUUAAUUUUCACAACCACCAAAUGAAUUGGCCUAUUAUUGUU
rnacentral:lncRNA from 10 species